CCAACACCUUUACUUCUUGGCUAAGAGUCACACUGGUAAACACUGUUGUUAAGUAAUAAUCAGUGUUACUGCUGUGGAUCCAUUGUAAGUUCAACACUUUUUCCCAUAAGAAAAAUAUGCAAUUAUUAUCAUAAAUGAACACUAACUGACUUAAUUGAAGGAAAGGUGGGGCGGGGGACUCAAAACUCAGGUUCUAUCUCCACUCUCUUGUGCACGUCAGAAUGGGCACUGCCACUGAGGCACUGUGCCAUGGUUGUUGGUGAGGACUUGUCACGGUUCUUGUUUUGGUUCGGGCCAUUUACGAGUUUCCAGUUGUCUUAGUCACUUUCCUUGUUGCUUGGACAAAAUACCCAACACCUGCAACUUAAAGGAGGAGAGAUUUAUUUUGGCUCGAGGUUGUAGAGGUUUCAGUCCACAGUCAGCUGGCUCCAAGGCAGAGCGGCAUGGCAGAGACACAUAACAGAGGAGGGACUGUAUGGUGGUGGGGAAGCACAAGAGAGAGGGAAGUGAGGAGCAGGGAAGAGCCAGACCCUUCCAGGCCAUGUCUCCAUUGGCCUACCAGAUCCCACCUCCCCACAGGAAGUCAGCUAUAAUCAGUGGACUAAUCCACUGAUGAGCAUCCCACCCCCACGAUCCAAGCACCUUCCCCAAACCCCACUCAUGAGGCUGUGGAGCCACAUCUCAAUCGCAACCACAACACUUGGAUGUUGCGAACAGGUAGGAAAUAUAAUCAAAGAGGCUAACUAUGGCCCCCCAUGAACCUGGACUUAAUAUGAAACAUCAUGAUGAGUAAUACCUGGUAAACAUUGAGAUCGAAAAACAGAUCAAAUUCUGGUGGCAAAUGAUCUACAGAAAGAUGUCAGGAAUAUCAUAGGUCUUGUUUUGUUUUUGCCCCAAAUGAUAUAUAUUGUUUUAGUAUGAAGCAGUGAAUUAAUGAAUAAAUAGCAAACAAAGUAUUACUGAAGAGAAAGGUUCAUCAUCGUGGGUGAGUGGUAAUGAGGGUUGGCUGUGAGUCGGGGUGAGCAAGGCUGUAUUUCAGGAAGGUACAGCUGUAGCACAAAAGAAACCUAGGCUAUUAUUCUGUCGGAAACAACCUCUGUAGCCAGUUGUAAAAUACCCACUUACCUAUUCUUGUACUUGUAUGGUUUAUGGAUGAUUAUAUUAUUACAAGGGACUUAGUACCUAAAGAGCUCAAGAAACAGGAUUAAGUGAAUAAGAACAUGACCAUGCCCGGCCCAACCAUAACACAUUUAAAGAGACAAGUUGUUAGAGUAAUCUGAUUUUCAUGAGUUGACAUUUGUGUUUUUGUUGUUUUUAAUUUCUCAGAAUGAGGAACAUGUAGACAGGUGUGUGAAUCCUCACUGUUCAUAUUUUGGUUGUCUUUGGUUGGCUGGUUAUGUUAUUACUAAAUAGGGAAGUCAUUUACAUGAUAAAAGACUAAACAUUAUUGAAAUUAAAGGUGGUCAGUGACAAAAAUUUGUUAGAUAACAAGAAUGAUUAUGCUCACUAAAUUUCCUUACAAAGUGACAUUGUCUGUUAUCACCUCAGUAAGAAGCGCUGUACAUGCGGUACCAUUGUCUGUGCUAUUGUCUUCCGUAUGUAAAAGACCCUGAUUUUUACCUUCACAGUGCACAAAUGAGUAAGUGUAAUAAUCAGAAAGCUAAAAGGAAGACAAUAUGGGGGAUAAUGAGCAUGUGUUGAAGUAAUGUUUCUGAUUUAACCAGUUCCUGAGAUUAUUUUCUUUUUCAGACAAAAUUUUGGCUCUUACAAGGUUUUUGAUAAGAAUGCAGAGAUUUAUGCACAAUCAUUCAUGUCUCAGGUUUCUCGGAGUUUAAACAUCAUUUUACCUCUUCAAAAAGCAUAAAUUGUGCUCGCUUCGGCAGCACAUAUACUAAAAAAGCAUAAAUUGAUGGCCAAAUUAUUUCAUCCAUGGAUGAAUAAAACAAUAGGACGAGAUAUUGUUCAUUGGCACAAAAUUUCUUUGAAGCAAUCAUUGAGAUGAAUGCAGUUCUGCACAUGCAGGGUCGAGAGAGCUAAGUGGUUGUGUGUAUGGUGGAGGGGUUGGAGCUGGAGGAUUCAGACUCUGCUUGGUUGUGAUUGAGAUGAGUGGAUUCAAAUGUGUCCCACUUUUAAUGCAAAACUGAUAACUGGGUAAGUUCGACAAAAAAGCGGGGGCUGCUUUUUGGCCAGCUGCAAAUGGGUAUGACUGAAAAUUUACAAUUCAUGUAAAUCCACUUACCUUGCAGUCACUAGACUGUGAAAGUGAAAAUGCAGUCUGUUGGAUUAUUCCUUUGAACGCUUUGUACUCUCCAGACUGGACCCUGGUGACUAACAUCUUGGCUUGUGAGCCCUUGGCUACAAAGCAGAGAGACCCAUGAUCCGUGCACCAUAGCUGAUUAAAUUAUUCUCCAAUCAUGAAGAUCUUUGCCUUGUCCCUCUGGAUCAUCUUUAAAAAGAAUAAGUGACUCAAUGUGAUCAUAAGAUGAAACAAGGGCAAUCGAACUCAGGACCCUGCGCUUGCAAGGCAGGUGGUGGAACCACUGAGCUAAAUCCCCAGCCCACCGUGAAAGAAACACUUAAUGUUUUGUAUCCUUGUUUUAAUAGGAGAUAGUAUAGAGUACCAUGCUAGUAUGAAAUUUUUUGCUUGGUAUUUUCAUGGAUUAUUACAUGGAUUAUUAUUUUUCUGUCUCAGACACUAGUUGUACUGAGCUUAUUUAUUUGCAGGUAAGAGGCUUUUGUAUCCUAUUUUAAAUUUUUAAAAAAAUUUUCUGGCACUUGGUAUCAGAGAGAAUGCUAAAAUAACUGAUUUUACAGGAUUAAUUUCAGCUCAACAGCUAUUGUCUUGAAUCCUUGUCAGAUCCUGUGUCAGGCAUGGAGUUCACGUAUGCAUCUAAUCCUGUCUUCAAGUAGCUCUAGCGGAUAAGACAGAGACCUGCUUACAAAGCCAACAAUUCAGUAUUGUGGAUGUGCUUUCCAGAAGUGCAGAAAGAGCCCUAUUGCCUGAGUUUUAAGUUCCGGAUGCUUUGUGGAAGAGAUGAAUCUUGAGCCAAUAACAAAAGCACUAGGCUGACCUGAAUCACUACCAUGCCCUUUGUGCCCCAUACAUAGAGCACACUCAAUAACAUUUGUAGAAUGAGUAGAAGAAUAAAAGAAGACUAAAUGA